rnacentral:misc_RNA from 1 species
GAUGAAGAACGCAGCGAAAUGCGAUAAGUAAUGUGAAUUGCAGAAUUCAGUGAAUCAUCGAAUCUUUGAACGCACAUUGCGCCCCCUGGUAUUCCGGGGGGCAUGCCUGUCCGAGCGUCAUUACAACCCUCAAGCUCAGCUUGGUGUUGGGCCCCGCCGCCCCGGCGGGCCCUAAAAUCAGUGGCGGUGCCGUCCGGCUCCGAGCGUAGUAAUUCUUCUCGCUCUGGAGGUCCGGUCGUGUGCUCGCCAGCAACCCCAAUUUUUUUCAGGUUGACCUCGGAUCAGGUAGGGAUACCCGCUGAACUUAAGCAUAUCAAUAAGCGGAGGA